CCUACGGGGGGCAGCAGUGAGGAAUAUUGGUCAAUGGACGAAAGUCUGAACCAGCCAAGUAGCGUGAAGGAUGACUGCCCUAUGGGUUGAAAACUUCUUUUAUAUGGGAAUAAAAUGUUCCACGUGUGGGAUUUUGUAUGUACCAUAUGAAUAAGUAUCGGCUAACUCCGUGCCAGCAGCCGCGGUAAUACGGCGGAUCCGAGCGUUAUCCGGAUUUAUGGGGUUUAAAGGGAGCGUAGGUGGAUUGUUAAGUCAGUUGUGAAAGUUUGCGGCUAAACCGUAAAAUUGCAGUUGAAACUGGCAGUCGUGAGUACAGUAGAGGUGGGCGGAAUUCGUGGUGUAGCGGUGAAAUGCUUAGAUAUCACGAAGAACUCCGAUUGCGAAGGCAGUUCACUGGACUGCAACUGACACUGAGGCUCGAAAGUGUGGGUAUCAAACAGGAUUAGAUACCCUUGUAGUC
rnacentral:rRNA from 1 species